rnacentral:rRNA from 1 species
CCUACGGGAGGCAGCAGUGAGGAAUAUUGGUCAAUGGGCGCGAGCCUGAACCAGCCAAGUCGCGUGAGGGAAGACGGCCCUAUGGAUUGUAAACUUCUUUUGUCGGGGAGCAAACGACGCCACGCGUGGCUUUCUGAGAGUAUCCGAAGAAAAAGCAUCGGCUAACUCCGUGCCAGCAGCCGCGGUAAUACGGAGGAUUCGAGCGUUAUCCGGAUUUAUUGGGUUUAAAGGGUGCGUAGGCGGGAGGAUAAGUUAGCGGUAAAAUUUGGAGGCUCAACCUCUUACUUGCCUUUGAUACUGGUUGUCGUGAGAGUACGAGAGGUAUGCGGAAUGCGUGGUGUAGCGGUGAAAUGCAUAGAGAUCACACAGAACACCGAUUGCGAAGGCAGCAUACC